rnacentral:tRNA from 1 species
GGAAGCGUGGCAGAGCGGUUGAAUGCAACGGUCUUGAAAACCGUCGAAGGGGAAACUCUUCCG